GCCCAGCCCUGGCUGGAAUCCAGGAUCAUGACACAACCCGUGUGUACCGACCUCCGCCUGUUCUCCAACCGACCCCCACCGAAAGUUUGAUCGUUGUGUGAAAAUGUGUGCAAGAACAUCAGGAGAGUACAAGGAACAAGUUCGUGGACCAAAAAAGGAGGAGGAGCCACAUCAUCAUCUACUGGACGCUGUGUUCAAUCUGCAGUCUCAAAUUGUCCUACACAGAGCAGCGCAUCAAUAUCUGACCUCACGUCCUGAGUGCCAGCCCACUUCAGGAUGUGGAUGGUGGAGCUUGACUUUUAUCCUUGGGGUAGCCAGGGGGGCAAGGCUAUUUCAAGGAACUACAGACGAUGACAAUGAAUUUCUUUCUCAACCAGUGAAUUGCAAUCUGAGUCUCGAAAUGUUGCAAUGUACAUAUGAAGCACACAGAAGAUGAGGUAUGUGUGUAAAAAUGAGUUUAUGAUCCAUGUUUACAACAUAGUGUACACAGAAACAAAACUGCAACAAUUUUCCAAUAAUCCCAGAGUAACUCACUCACACAGAGUAUCCACUCACUUUCAGGCAUACUCUCAUAUAGAAAAAAGGCCACUUUUGUUACACUUUGCAUCACUUACAAUUGUACGAUGUGAACAAAUCCCCACUUCAAGCCUAAAAAAUGUCGGGGGGAAUACACCACUGUAGAUAAAAAUUUCAAAUUAAAAUAUUUAGCUACUCAGUGGUUCCCAUCUGGUUUUGCCUCAGGACCCAAAACUUAAAUUAGUCGUUC